AAGACUAUACUUUCAGGGAUCAUUUCUAUAGUUUGUUAAUUACCCUUUUUAAGAGUAAAAAUCUUAAAUCCAUAGU
rnacentral:snoRNA from 1 species